AAAUGAUAAUUGUUGUAUAGGAAGAGUCUUUCAACUUCCUUCUUCUCUCCUGAAUGGAUGCUGCUUCUCUUAAAUUUGUAGCUAGGUUCCCCCAACUAAAGAAACCACAAAAUCCAGUGCUUCUUCGUUCUCCCAAUCAAGUAUCCACUAUUUUGACUUUGUUCCAAUGGCGGCUCUCACCGCCACCCCAGUUGGGUUUUAAAAAAAUUCAUCAUUUGGUGUGCUGUUUUCUCCAAUUUUG
rnacentral:lncRNA from 1 species